UUCACUUGCCCCCCAUUGCCUAUACCAUGUUGCCUUCCUGGAGUUGGUGGCCUUUGAGCUGGGCCUGGAAGAUUGGGUAGGACUUUAUGAAGUGGGGAUGGAGAGACAAGCUGUGCGAUGGGGAUGAAGAAGAUAACCCAGGUCAGAGGGAACAGCAUAAGCAAAGAUCUUGGCUCAACCAAGAGGCGGACUCACCGUGAUGUGAAUGCAGCUUGAGCAUCCAGGACUCUCCCCAGAUCCAGGGAGGGCCUCAGCGAUGUGUUCACGUUGUCAUAUUUUUAUAAAAUUUGCAAAGGUAAGAUACUUU
rnacentral:lncRNA from 10 species